CCUACGGGAGGCAGCAGUAGGGAAUCUUGCGCAAUGGGCGAAAGCCUGACGCAGCGACGCCGCGUGAGGGACGAAGGCCUUCGGGUUGUAAACCUCUUUCGGCAGGGACGAAGGUGACGUGUACCUGCGGAAGAAGCGCCGGCUAACUACGUGCCAGCAGCCGCGGUAAU
rnacentral:rRNA from 1 species